GGAAAAAUGGGAGUGAUGUAGUGUCAUUUACUUUCACCUCACCCAUCAAAAAAUCAAUGCCUGGCCCCACUUCAUCAAGUCAUGUUUUGGAAAAGAACAGUGCUUUGUGUCUUUUUCCAGGUUCCUAUGAUGAUCAGUCUGAUUCAAGGACAUCAACAAUGCCUUCUUUUCGCAUUGGUGGUGAUGAUUUAGGUAUUCUCUUAGAACA
rnacentral:misc_RNA from 1 species